CCUACGGGAGGCAGCAGUGAGGAAUAUUGGUCAAUGGACGAGAGUCUGAACCAGCCAAGUAGCGUGAAGGAUGACUGCCCUAUGGGUUGUAACCUUCUUUUAUACAGGAAUAAAACGAGGCACGUGUGCCUUUUUGCAUGUACUUUAUGAAUAAGGAUCGGCUAACUCCGUGCCAGCAGCCGCGGUAAUACGGAGGAUCCGAGCGUUAUCCGGAUUUAUUGGGUUUAAAGGGAGCGUAGAUGGGUUGUUAAGUCAGUUGUGAAAGGUUGCGGCUCAACCGUGAAAUUGCAAUUGAUACUGGCAGUCUUGAGUACAGUUGAGGUAGGCGGAAUGCGUGGUGUAGCGGUGAAAUGCUUAGAGAUCACGAAGAACCCCGAUUGCGAAGGCAGCUUACUAAGCUGUGACUGACAUUGAUGCUCGAAAGUGUGGGUAUCAAACAGGAUUAGAUACCCGUGUAGUC
rnacentral:rRNA from 1 species